UAAUCGUGAUGAUGGUAAUGAUGAUGGUGAUGACGACGAUGUGAUGAUAGUAUGAUUAUGAUAAUCAUCACCAUCAUCACCAUUACCAUCUCCA
rnacentral:miRNA from 1 species